rnacentral:lncRNA from 1 species
UCUUCAACAAACUCAGCUUCACAGCGUUCGGAAACUGCCCCAGCGGCGAGUUAUCGAAUAUCUGAAUCCCUCGGACAAAACACUUGGUCGUAUCUUCAAACUCGUUCUGCAAAACGCCUUCGUAAGGGUACUUCACUAAGGAGAGGUAAUGAAACCAGAUCCAGUAGAGAGGGAUACGAUCGCGAGAGAUGAAGAAUCCGGAGAAGAGGAGGAAGUAAGCGAGGAUGGCUACAACAACAGUGAAUCCAAGCAUCACGUUCGAAACGACGCCGGAUAGGAACGUCACGAAGGAGCUUCCGGCCCAGAAGGAAGCCAAGAUGGUGAGGAAGAAGAAGAGGAAGCCGCUGGCGCCUCCGGCUAGACCGACGGCGAAGAAAGUGGUGGCUGCGAAGCACGCGGCGAGGAAUAUGAGAGAAGGGAUCGAGAUAAUGGACUGUGAGAGGACGUAGGAGGAUCUGCGGUACGAAAAAAUAAAUUAAGGAUCCUAAACAUGAGCUGAUGGAAUAAAGAUGAGAGGAAAGUGUCUACUCUUUCUAACUUGUUGUCCACUAUAUUAUUCCCUCCUCCACCACUACCACCUUCCUACAAACACGACAAAAGGAAAAAAAAUAAAGCGAGACACAAAGAGAGAAAGAGACAUGGAUCUCGAUUGGGUAUCAGCUUUUUUCAAGAACAACGAAUGGCUGAUAGUGUAUCUCAAAGGCAUGGUGAAGCCCGCGGCGGCUCUCGCGGUUGUGCUUCUAGCCGUGGCUCUCUCCUACUCGCAGAAACUCUCUUUGGAAGGAGACAUGAUAUACUCUGUUUUACGAUCGUUUCUUCAGCUAUCUGUUAUUGGGUUCGUUCUUCAGUUCAUCUUUAACCAAGAAAACGCCGGCUGGAUCAUCCUCGCUUACCUCUUCAUGGUAAUACAGUAACACUUCAAAGUUCAAAAUUCAAAAAUGAUAAAUUAUAUUUAACUUAAAAUUGUUUUUUUUAAUUCUGGUCAGGUCUCUGUUGCCGGUUACACCGCCGGACAACGUGCAAAGCACGUGCCACGUGGAAAGUACGUGGCCGGAGUAUCUAUCCUCGCCGGAACUUCUAUCACAAUGUUCCUGCUCAUCGUCCUCAACGUCUUUCCUUUCACUCCUAGGUAUAUCAUCCCUGUGGCCGGGAUGAUGGUCGGAAACGCCAUGACGGUCACCGGAGUUACCAUGAAGCAGCUACGAGAUGACAUCAAGAUGCAACUAAACCUGGUUAAACUUCUUUACAUCAAUGAUUUUGUACUUAACCGAACCAAGUUCCCGGUUUAAACCUGGUUAAACUUAUUCUUUUAGAACAAUGAUUUUACACAGCUUAACCGAACCAAGUUUCCGGUUUAAUUGCCAUAGGUGGAGACAGCAUUGGCACUAGGAGCGACGCCAAGACAAGCGACGUUACAACAGGUGAAAAGAGCUUUGGUGAUAUCUCUAUCUCCGGUUUUGGAUAGCUGCAAAACAGUUGGAUUGAUCUCUCUACCAGGGGCUAUGACCGGUAUGAUAAUGGGCGGUGCGUCUCCUCUUGAAGCUAUCCAGCUACAGAUAGUUGUGAUGAACAUGAUGGUUGGAGCAGCAACCGUUAGUAGCAUCAUGUGUACCUAUCUUUGUUGGCCAUCUUUCUUCACUAAAGCAUACCAGUUACAAACUCGUGUCUUCUCAAGUUGAAACUAUUAAUUAUUAUCCAUUUACUUUCAACAGUCUUAAAAUCAUAACAUUGUUUUUGUAAACUAUAUACAUUAACAGAAACAGAUUAUUUAACAAAAAAAAAUGUAGAAUGGGGAGAUUAAAUACAACUUUUAAUUAAUUGAUUAGGUAUCAUAUAACGAAGAAAUACAAAUAUUUAGCUUUAAAAAAAUAAAAUAAAACACGACAAUGUUUUUAUGAUUUUCAGACAACAAGACCAAUCAAGAAAAAAAAAACAAACUGUUUCAUCACCUCCGUUUGUUCUUACUUCCAAUCAACAGCGUGAAGUAAAACAAAACCCUAAAGAAGAACCCCCACGCAACCGUGAUCCACAAGCAAUUCCACUUACUAAUCUCCGUAACCCCCUGCUGCUUCAAAAUAUCAAUCCCCGUCGUCACACACGUCUCCGCCGUCACAUUAAUCCCCAAAACACCGCUCAUACUCUUCAACAAACUCAGCUUCACAGCGUUCGGAAACUGCCCCAGCGGCGAGUUAUCGAAUAUCUGAAUCCCUCGGACAAAACACUUGGUCGUAUCUUCAAACUCGUUCUGCAAAACGCCUUCGUAAGGGUACUUCACUAAGGAGAGGUAAUGAAACCAGAUCCAGUAGAGAGGGAUACGAUCGCGAGAGAUGAAGAAUCCGGAGAAGAGGAGGAAGUAAGCGAGGAUGGCUACAACAACAGUGAAUCCAAGCAUCACGUUCGAAACGACGCCGGAUAGGAACGUCACGAAGGAGC